GGGUCGCCACGGGAGGCGAGGCCUUCGGCGCCGCGCCGGGGGAGGCCGACGGAGGCUGCGCCGUGGCGGCGACGGCGAGGAGGGCGAGCACGGAGAGGACGGCGAGGUGAGAAGCGGCCAUUGGAGCCCUUGAGGUAGUAGUACUCAGUGAUCUGUGUGAGGGGGGCUCCUCCUGGCUGGGCUGGCUCGCUCCUCUCCUUCUGGCCUCUCUCUCUCGCGGUGAGUGAUGAGCUGAGCUGAGCUGAGCUUUGCGAGAGCUUUCUCUGUGUGCCGGGGUGGUGAGGGGAGGCGGGGCGCUUAUAAAGCGUCAGUCUCCGCGCCGGAGUCGCGUCGCGUCGCGCGCGCCAG
rnacentral:lncRNA from 1 species